GACGAACGCUGGCGGCGUGCUUAACACAUGCAAGUCGAGCGGUAAGGCCCUUCGGGGUACGACGAGCGGCGAACGGGUGAGUAACACGUGGGUGACCUGCCUCUAGCUCUGGGAUAAGCCUGGGAAACUGGGUCUAAUACCGGAUAUGACUCCACGGCGCAUGUUGUGGGGUGGAAAGCCUUGUGUGGCUAGAGAUGGGCCCGCGGCCUAUCAGCUUGUUGGUGGGGUGAUGGCCUACCAAGGCGACGACGGGUAGCCGGCCUGAGAGGGCGACCGGCCACACUGGGACUGAGACACGGCCCAGACUCCUACGGGAGGCAGCAGUGGGGAAUCUUGCGCAAGUGGGCGAAAGCCUGACGC
rnacentral:rRNA from 1 species